rnacentral:rRNA from 1 species
GAUGAACGCUAGCUACAGGCUUAACACAUGCAAGUCGAGGGGCAGCAUGACGAUAGCUUGCUAUUGUCGAUGGCGACCGGCGCACGGGUGAGUAACGCGUAUCCAACCUUCCCGUUGCUAGGGGAUAACCUUGCGAAAGUAAGACUAAUACCCUAUGAGGUUCUUCGCAGGCAUCUAAAGAGAACGAAAGAUUUAUCGGCAACGGAUGGGGAUGCGUCCGAUUAGCUAGUUGGCGGGGUAACGGCCCACCAAGGCGACGAUCAGUAGGGGUUCUGAGAGGAAGGUCCCCCACAUUGGAACUGAGACACGGUCCAAACUCCUACGGGAGGCAGCAGUGAGGAAUAUUGGUCAAUGGGCGAGAGCCUGAACCAGCCAAGUAGCGUGCAGGAUGACGGCCCUAUGGGUUGUAAACUGCUUUUAUAAGGGGAUAAAGUGGGCCACGCGUGGCCUUUUGCAGGUACCGCAUGAAUAAGGACCGGCUAAUUCCGUG